rnacentral:rRNA from 1 species
UACGUAGGGGGCAAGCGUUGUCCGGAUUUAUUGGGCGUAAAGAGCGCGCAGGCGGCUUGGCAAGUCGGGUGUGAAAUCCCGGGGCUCAACCCCGUGACUGCAUCCGAUACUGUCAGGCUAGAGGUAGGUAGGGGAGAUCGGAAUUCCUGGUGUAGCGGUGAAAUGCGCAGAUAUCAGGAGGAACACCGGUGGCGAAGGCGGAUCUCUGGGCCUUACCUGACGCUCAGGCGCGAAAAGCUAGGGGAGCGAACAGG